ACAGGAUGUUGAUAACUUUUAGCGCAUGCGCAAUGCGUGGCUGAACGGGAAGGUAGCCUACGAAAUUUUUUAAAAUGGAUUUUCUUAAUAGCCUUUAGAUGUCUAGGCCCCGUUGGAAUAUUAGCUAAUCUUAAAUAAUUUCUUCAUAUUCUAUUCUAUGCAAAAAUAUUCUGGAAAUCUUUUCUCAUAAAAAGAAUAAGAAGACAAAAAAAUUAAGGUAAACUUGGUACAGGCAAUUAGGCAAUGCGCACGACUUUAUUUAAUCAACAGGUGAACGCAGUCGCUUUAAUUAUUGCAUGCCGCCUUUUCAACGCACGCCCGCCCGCAUGUUGUAAAGCUCUCUGUGAUGGAUGAAACAUAUAAUGAGCAAGUGUGCUGUAUAAACCCACCUGUUGAAACAAUAAUCAAAACAAAUAUGCCCUCAAACCCUAACGAUUCAAUCGUUAAAAGGAAACCGAUUGGUUUAGCAAUCGAUAAUGAAUCGUUCGAAAAAGUAAAUAAGCAUCGACGUAGUUCUGUGCCAACCACGCCCUCAGCUCCUGACAUCGUCAUAACGAGUGCAAUGAAUGGUGGAAACGACUCUUCGUCCGAGCAUGAACAACGCCGACCCAGAGCUAGAAGUUCAUCCGUCCAAGUUGCGAGCGAAGUGUCCAAUAUUGAGUUACGUGAAGAGCUUAUAGCUGCUCGCCAUGAAUUGGAACGACGAAUAGCGAAAAAUGAAGAAUUAGAACGGGUUCAAGAGCAAAUGAAUGGGGAAGUAACAGAGUUAACAGCCUCUCUAUUCGAGCAAGCAAAUAAAAUGGUUCAGGAAGCUAAUGUUAAAAGGAUGCAAACUGAAAAUGAACUAAAAGCCGCUAACAAUAAAAUAGAAAUGUUACAAGCCGAAGUCUCCGCCUUGAAAGCCCUCGUAAUUACUUCAACUCCAGCAACUCCAAAUAAACACUUACAUCCUCAAUUGGAUGCAUCAGCCCAAGCCUCUCAAAAACAGGCUACACCGAACAAAUUUGCCAAGAAAAGUGGUUUUGUCAAAACUCACCGAAGAUCGACAAGCCAUCAUCAAUUUACUCGUGAUGAAAUGUCAGCCGUUAAUAUUAACUUGAUUAAGCCUAGUUCAGAGGCAAAUAGAGAACAAAAUGCCAAUGAAGAAAAUCGUAACAAUGAAGAUUGGGGUAUCGAUCCAGUAUACUUUGAUGAGUUUAACAAUUGGAAAAAAUCUCCUAAAUUAGACGAUCGUAACACAUUUCUCGGUCGAAUUGCAGACGAAGAUAUUCUACCAUGUUUAGAUUUUGCAAACAAUAAAUUAUCUCAAAAUAUACACUGGUCAAUUAAGAAAAACACGAUGGCAAUAGAACCAGUACCGGACAGAAAUCCCCUGCCCAGAAUGUGUUCGUUAACUGAAAGGAAUAAUAUUUGCAAAUACAGAGUUCGGUUAGGAGAUAACGAAGAAUGGCAUUAUGUUUCCAAAUUGGCUAGAAAUAGGAUAGCCGCCGUUGCUGAUUUCUACACUUACAUUCGUUAUAUAACAUUGGGCCUAGUGAAAAGUCAAGAUGCAGAAAUGUUUCAACAUGUAAUGAAACUCCGAAAGCAGAUGUGUGUUGCACGUUUAGGUUACACCAUUUAGAAACAGGCUUUAUUAUUAGAAUACUCACAUGUUUGUGCCAAAGUUUUUCUACUUAACUUCUUAUUUCAUGAGAUAAAAAGACAAAAUAUGAGCUUUGUUUCCUUUCACAAAAGAAUUAUUAACUAGAUUUUGCUAAAAUUUUCUAGUCGUAAUGGUGCGUAAUCUUAUUUUUUUAUCAAAAAGAAACAGCAUAAAUUACAAACAACAAUAUUUUUUAGAUAAACUAGAUAGAAUUUUGUAUGCUAGUAUUUACUUAAAACUUGCUUAACCAUUGGCAUAUUUAAAACAAAGUUAAUAGCACAUGUGUCGCAUUAUUGUCGAUUAAACCAUUGGACAAUUUCAACAUAAUGUACUAACCAAAAUUUUUACAUCUGCUCUAUUCAAAUUCGUAAUCGUGUGAAGUCUCUUGAGUAUGAUUAAUUAAUUGUUCUUUAUGUAAUCCAAUUGUACUUUUUAUUUCACUUUUUUUCAUGAAAAUUGAAGAGCCUUUUUACAUUAAAUAAUGUUAUCAUCCUGUUACGAAAGGUCUUAAUGAACUAUGUCGAACUUAAUGACUGCACUUUCCACCUUUUAUAUUACCUAAUCUUGCCGCUAUAUUCGACUUUCAUCUAGUUUUAAAAAGCAUUUAGAGAAAAAUUGCACAAAUUUCGAGAAAGCAUGUUAAUAAUGCUCUUCUUGGCAAGAUUCGGGCGUCUUCGAGUGCCUUCUAAAGUGCCAUCGAAUGAUCAUUCUGCUUCAUAAAAACAAGUUGGAAUUUCAAAGCGUUAAAGAUUUUGUGACUAAGCAAAUUAUCACCGUAUUCUUUGCCUUUGCAUGACAGGAUAAUUUCUCCCACCUAAAGAAAACGAUUCAAUUAGACUAUAUUAUAUAAUACAAAGAAUGGAAUUUAAUUAACAUUUUUUACCUCAUCGUUUAUUCCCAAACUCUCACUUAAAAAAAAGAAGAUAGACAUUCUACAUCCGUUUUAUAAGCAUAUCGACGUAUUAUCUAAGCUGAGUCAUGAUAUUUUCAAACUUUGAAUUACCCAAUAUAGAACAAAACAAUAACAAUAAAAGAACAAUACACUCAGGAAAUAAUAGAGAUAAGGAGCUAAAAGGAAAAAAAAAGCAACUUAUAAGUAAACAAAGAGACAGUAUAUUAUGAAUGUUAUUAAAUUAAUAAUAAAAAAUCUAUUCUAUGUAUUUAUUCUAUAGAAAUUAUGCUAAUUAGAUAAAUUUAUUUGCAGUCUUUUAAAGUAACAUAUAAGAAAGGGAAUCAAAAAAUAGAGAAUUGUAUUGCAGAGAAAACCAUAGUUAAUUUGACGCCUUGUAUAAGGAUUGGAGAUUCAAAAGAGGAAAUAUUCUUUAAGGCAAUGUCAGCUAUACAUAUAACUAAAGAUGAUAAGGAUAAUAGAUUGAUCAAAUUUGGGAUGCCAGUUAGUUUUCCUUCUCCUCUGUUUGAUAUAUUUUACAUAAAUAUAUAUAAAUAUCUGCGUCAUACAAACUAAAUAUAUAUUUAUUAUUAUAUUUUUUUUAUGAACAAAAUAGGAUAAUGAGUUCCAUCUUAAAUUUAAGAAUGAAAGAGAUGCUGAAAAUUUCUAUAAACUUGCCAUUAAAGGUUACAAUUACGUUUUCUUACGUUGCUGCCGAUAGUUGACUUAUUUCUUUUUUUUUUUCUGUCCUAUAUACUAUGUAAAAUACAGACUCCGGGCCGACUAUCACUUUUAGCUUUACCAAUCUUCGUGUAGCUUGCUUUGAUUUCUUCGGAGAGAUAAAGGAAUAAAGUAUUAGUUUCGCUGAUUCCUUCGAUAAAAUGACUGCAUUUCCAUGUUUUUAUUAGAAAACGAAUAUCCUAGAAUCACAUAUCAUCUUUUGGAAUCUUUGUACAUAGAGAACGUUGAAUUUUGAAAUCGAAUCUUUAAUGAAUAUCUUAAUUAUAAUAUAAAUGUUCUAAAAGCUAACUUAGAAAACAUAACAAUAAAAUCAGAAUGAAUAUAUGUUUAUUAUAAUAUUAAGCGUAUUUGUUUGGAAUUAUUACCCGAAAUUUAGAUAAUAACCCUACUU
rnacentral:misc_RNA from 1 species